GUGGGGAAUCUUGCGCAAUGGGCGAAAGCCUGACGCAGCCAUGCCGCGUGAAUGAUGAAGGUCUUAGGAUUGUAAAAUUCUUUCACCGGGGACGAUAAUGACGGUACCCGGAGAAGAAGCCCCGGCUAACUUCGUGCCAGCAGCCGCGGUAAUACGAAGGGGGCUAGCGUUGCUCGGAAUUACUGGGCGUAAAGGGCGCGUAGGCGGACAGUUUAGUCAGAGGUGAAAGCCCAGGGCUCAACCUUGGAAUUGCCUUUGAUACUGGCUGUCUUGAGUUUGGGAGAGGUGAGUGGAACUCCGAGUGUAGAGGUGAAAUUCGUAGAUAUUCGGAAGAACACCAGUGGCGAAGGCGACUCACUGGCCCAAUACUGACGCUGAGGCGCGAAAGCGUGGGGAGCAAACAGGAUUAGAAACCCUGGUAGUCC
rnacentral:rRNA from 1 species